rnacentral:rRNA from 1 species
AGCAGCCGCGGUAAUUCCAGCUCCAAUAGCGUAUAUUAAAGUUGUUGCAGUUAAAAAGCUCGUAGUUGAAUUUCGGGAUUCAUCCGUUGGUCGGGCUUCACGGUCCGUACUGGUGUGAUGGGUUCCUACCUUCUGAAUAACCGGCAUGCCAUUAAUUUGGUGCGCCGGGGAAGCAGAACUAUUACCUUGAAAAAAUUAGAGUGCUUAAAGCAGGCAAGUGCCUGAAUAGGUUAGCAUGGAAUAAUAAAAUAGGACGGCAUGGUUCUAUUUUGUUGCUAUUUUGUUGGUUUCUAGGAUCACCGUAAUGAUUAAUAGGGAUAGUUGGGGGCAUUAGUAUUCAAUUGUCAGAGGUGAAAUUCUUGGAUUUAUUGAAGACUAACUUCUGCGAAAGCAUUUGCCAAGGAUGUUUUCAUUAAUCAAGAACGAAAGUUAGGGGAUCGAAGACGAUCAGAUACCGUCGUAGUCUUAACCAUAAACUAUGCCGACUAGGGAUCGGACGAUGUUAAUUUUUUAAUGACUCGUUCGGCGCCUUACG